AAUUCUCAAACCUUCUUGGUUUCUUGAUCAAGAUGGCUUUGGACUUUGGAGGUGUUUUGCUGGCUUUUCACAAAGUCAGCUCCUCUUAAAUACAUUAGUGGGGUCCCCUUUGCCGAUCCCCAGGCGUGAUAAGAUGUUUCUACGUCUUGGGAUUUGCUCUGUUCCUUGGGAACCCGCUUCUAACCGUCUCGUUGGAGACACCGUUCGAGUUUGCUCGACGCACGAACC
rnacentral:misc_RNA from 1 species